rnacentral:piRNA from 1 species
UUCACACGAGGUGCUGUUACUACAGCAGAGU